rnacentral:rRNA from 2 species
UGGCGGCGUGCCUAAUACAUGCAAGUCGAACGAGUUCUCGUUGAUGAUCGGUGCUUGCACCGAGAUUCAACAUGGAACGAGUGGCGGACGGGUGAGUAACACGUGGGUAACCUGCCCUUAAGUGGGGGAUAACAUUUGGAAACAGAUGCUAAUACCGCAUAGAUCCAAGAACCGCAUGGUUCUUGGCUGAAAGAUGGCGUAAGCUAUCGCUUUUGGAUGGACCCGCGGCGUAUUAGCUAGUUGGUGAGGUAACGGCUCACCAAGGCGAUGAUACGUAGCCGAACUGAGAGGUUGAUCGGCCACAUUGGGACUGAGACACGGCCCAAACUCCUACGGGAGGCAGCAGUAGGGAAUCUUCCACAAUGGACGCAAGUCUGAUGGAGCAACGCCGCGUGAGUGAAGAAGGCUUUCGGGUCGUAAAACUCUGUUGUUGGAGAAGAAUGGUCGGCAGAGUAACUGUUGUCGGCGUGACGGUAUCCAACCAGAAAGCCACGGCUAACUACGUGCCAGCAGCCGCGGUAAUACGUAGGUGGCAAGCGUUAUCCGGAUUUAUUGGGCGUAAAGCGAGCGCAGGCGGUUUUUUAAGUCUGAUGUGAAAGCCCUCGGCUUAACCGAGGAAGCGCAUCGGAAACUGGGAAACUUGAGUGCAGAAGAGGACAGUGGAACUCCAUGUGUAGCGGUGAAAUGCGUAGAUAUAUGGAAGAACACCAGUGGCGAAGGCGGCUGUCUGGUCUGUAACUGACGCUGAGGCUCGAAAGCAUGGGUAGCGAACAGGAUUAGAUACCCUGGUAGUCCAUGCCGUAAACGAUGAAUGCUAGGUGUUGGAGGGUUUCCGCCCUUCAGUGCCGCAGCUAACGCAUUAAGCAUUCCGCCUGGGGAGUACGACCGCAAGGUUGAAACUCAAAGGAAUUGACGGGGGCCCGCACAAGCGGUGGAGCAUGUGGUUUAAUUCGAAGCAACGCGAAGAACCUUACCAGGUCUUGACAUCUUUUGAUCACCUGAGAGAUCAGGUUUCCCCUUCGGGGGCAAAAUGACAGGUGGUGCAUGGUUGUCGUCAGCUCGUGUCGUGAGAUGUUGGGUUAAGUCCCGCAACGAGCGCAACCCUUAUGACUAGUUGCCAGCAUUUAGUUGGGCACUCUAGUAAGACUGCCGGUGACAAACCGGAGGAAGGUGGGGAUGACGUCAAAUCAUCAUGCCCCUUAUGACCUGGGCUACACACGUGCUACAAUGGAU